UUACUGCUGUGUUGUUAGUAUUCAAAUGUAGUUUCAACCUUUGAGUGUUAAAUAGGGAGUUCAAUAAUGUGGCUGAAAAACAAGCCUCCCCAUGCGGACAGAGGAAGUUUGGAGAGUCUCUGAGAACACCCACCUAGUGGAGUAUUGGUUUUUGAAACUGCAUUUCGAUACGGCAAAAGUGGCAGUGCC
rnacentral:other from 1 species